rnacentral:rRNA from 1 species
UACAGAGGAUGCAAGCGUUAUCCGGAAUGAUUGGGCGUAAAGCGUCUGUAGGUGGCUUCGUAAGUCCGUUGUGAAAGUCAAAGGCUCAACCUUUGAAAGCCGAUGGAUACUGUGAAGCUAGAGUACGGAAGAGGCGAGUGGAAUUCCUGGUGUAGCGGUGGAAUGCGCAGAUAUCAGGAGGAACACCAAUAGCGAAGGCAGCUCGCUGGGACGUUACUGACACUGAGGCGCGAAAGCGUGGGGAGCGAACAGG